CGGCCCUGAAGAAAGGAUGACAAGAAAAGAGUGUAAUAAAGCUGAGAGAAUCAUAUGGGUCAGGCCCACAAUAUCUUCAAUUAAUCACUACCAUUAUCAUCAGGAUCCUCAUGCAGAAGAAAGCACUAACAAAACACUGUUCCAUUCCUGGACGUGCAAGAAACUCAGGUAAAAAGAGCACAAAGACAGUGUACACCUCACAACAAAACAGCAAACUGUAACACAGAGCAAGGAAGAGGGAACAGCAACAUAUUCCCUCUUAGGCAGGCCCAACUCAUAUGUUCCAAACUUGCUCAAAAAAUUUUACAAUAAAAUAGGGAGUCAUGCCAGGCAAACAAACAUUGCCAAGUUGUGCUUCCCUAGAAGUUUGAUCCCCUAGUAGAAAUUAAAGCUAAUUUUUAGGCCAAUGAACAAUGCCUCAUCAUACUCAAAGAACACUGAUAAUGUAGAUUCAAACUGAAGUUUUGAAGCUUCAGCUGACUACAAUUUUGCUUUAUAGGUUAAUAAAAGUCAGCCAAAGAAAAACCAAACACUCUGACCUAUCACAUAGGUUCCUCUGGAAACAUGCUGACAAAGUCCUCAGAAGGGCAUGAUAUUUAUCCACAACACUCUAUUUUUGGACUGCUUUCCGUGCUUUUGGUAGAAGCAGAGAAGGAAGCAGCCACCACUAACAGAACAGCCUUUCAUUGUUCUGUGAUUUGCAGCUAACAGUUGCUAUCCUGCUCAGGUAAGCCUUGCAAAGACAAAAUCCAAGGAAUAGGCUGGAUUUGGAAUCAAGCGAGAGCAGGCAUGAAGCUGCAUGUCAUAGAUUGCAAGAACAUGAGUUUGCAAGUUACUUCCUGGGCAAGUAUUUUAUAUUAAGCAUUCUAGACAAAGGUAUGUCACUCCUGUUGUGCAGGAUUUAAAAUAAAAUGUACAUAUACUUUGGACAUACCUACUAUGCUAUAUCCUGUAUGGGUUGGAAAAGAAGAAUUGAAAGAAAUAAAGCAGAUAAUAAAGGAUCAACUGGCUAGGCUGCCUGAGAUCAGUUCAUUAACCACUUCUGGUCUAGGAGAACACCACAAGGACAAAGAAACAAUUGUUCAAUCCAUCCCAGCAUCUUUCUUUACAGUCUCUGCUAGCAACAGCAACUCCACAAGACUCAAUCCUUUCCUUAUUUCUUCAUCACAUCAACACUAACAUCUGUAUUUUAUAGAUUAGAUAGAACAGACCAAAGCAGAGACAGCAUUUUAAAAUAUUUUAACAUAAAAUUAAACCCUCCAACCUCCAUCAGACACCAUCCAUAGUGAUUUCACUAAAUCCCAUCAUUAUUCAGCACCUUUGAUACUGAGAUUGCACAUCUAGGCACUUCUGUAUUUACAAGGCCUUGUAGAACCCACAUCUAACUGGAAGUCCCAUGUCACACCAUGAUCCUCCCAACAAUUCAAAGACUAAGCCAGAAAUAAACCCUUAAAGCUUUGGUGCAGAGUUUCUGCUCUCCCCACCAGAUCACCUUUCCUCACUGAAAGAACAGAAUGGAUGAAUUUCAGUAGCUUUUCUGCUAUCUGCAUUUCUUUACAUGUCUCCUGCAAUGAGAAUGAACAUGCGACUCAGUAAGCAGAGUUUGACUGAAUGUUAACAAAAACCUGAGCUUCUUCCAGAAUUUAUUACACUGUUUUAAAAAACCAAACGAACAAACAAACCCCAAAACCUCUAGGUAGAAGCCUAAGUGUGGUUAAUAGAAGACAACAAAAUCCCUGAAGGAAAAUUCACCUAUUGAAAAGAAGUGACAGCAGCAGCCACAGCAAGAAAACCCCUUGUUGCCAUGCUGAAGGAAAGUUGAGCAGCAUUUUUCAACACUUUUCUCCUCCCCUCCUCCUCUUCUUCCCACCCACCUGACUCUCAUUUGCAGCCAUAUGAAUCCCAGUGGUCUCAGUGGCACAGUGUGAAAUUAACAAAUCACUUCUAGAUUAGAACAGAGCUGACAGACUUUCCAGCGUGGGCUGGCAGGCACAUGUAUGUACAGGCCUCCCUCCUGCCUUUACUUUUGUAAAAAUCAUGGAUAUAAAUAUACACACAUGCGUAUCAGGUUAUGGCCUGAUACUUGCUUCAGACUUAACUCUGGCUGAGCAAAUGAAGGGCUAACAUUUAACAAUGUGAAACAGAAUAUUAGUUGUCAUUUUGCCUAAAAUGUCUAAUUAUCUGAGGAUAAGGAAUGAGGAUCAGAUACCUCUCCUGCCCAUUACUAUCCCACUAUCUAACCUCUAACCUCAAUCAUGAAUGCCAAUACUGCUAGAGGUAUAAAUAAGCAAGAUAGCUAUACCUAUAUUUUAAAAAUUAAACCAGAAAGCAACUGUGACUCUAUGCAAACUUGCUACAGCAUCAACUAUAUAGACCAUUACAUAGCAGCAGAGCAGAAUACCAUUUUCAACAACGAUUCUCCACUUUUCCUACAUUUUUCUGAGAAUGCUUUAAUCACUAACUGGCCUUGAAAACAGGCAUAUCCUUUGUCUAGGUGCCACAAGAGAAAGGACUCUAUUCAAGGAAUAAGACUGCAUGAGGCCCAGCACCUGUGGCUUGAAGUCUUCAUAUAAUAGAGCCCAGAGAGCCAAAGUACUUGAAUUCAUGGCCUGUAUUAUGGUGUCUGAAUUGUAUUUAACAGAAAUCAACUGUGAAGAUGAGAACGGCACUUUCAGCAGAGGGGGAAAAGAAAAGGAAAAAGAAAAAACACAACAAUGAGGAAUUUUGAAAGCCUGACAAUACCACAAGGAAGCUUGAAGCCUGAUCUGCCAUCUUUAGAGUCAGUCGUGACAGCACAGCAUAGAUGCUGGGUACUUGGCCUCACUUCUUAGUACUAUGGGCCACUUGAAUCACAAAAGGAAUGUUGUCUCACAGAGUUCAUCUACUCCUGCUGCUAACAGUCAUUGCCUGAUGUCAUAAUCCUCUGUAGCAACAGAAUUUUCUUCAGAGCAACUAAUAAGGAUGUCACAGGGAAUUAGGAUUUUGGAUUAGGGAGCAAAGUGACAGAAGCACAGGAAGGAUUAUAAAACAUGAAGAUUGUGCUGCCACGCACAUGCCCUUUAGUGCUAACGAACAAGAAAAGAUGACAAACAACUUAUAUAUAAAGCAGUAGAAUUGUUUCUAAAUUACCAGUGCCAUCAGGACUCAGCUGAGCUUGGUACAGUGCCUUCUUCGUGCCACACACACAGUGGAAAGAGGAGUAAGUGGGCAGUAGAUAUCAAGUAGAAGUGGAGAAAUCCCCAGUGCAGAAAAGCAACCCUGCUUGCAGAAGCAUGACUUGCUGUGCCUCUUCCUAUCCAGGUUAAGCCUACCAACAGAGGCAUCUCCUUUGGAACAUGAAAUAGAAAACCAGGAUUCUUCAACAAUAUCCUUUUUAUUUUUAUAUCUACAUCUCUAAUUUUUACUGGAACAGUUCAGUAUCCAAGGACUUGCAGGAUCUGAGAUUUGAUGGGUUAUCCCCCCUGGGAAGGAGACUAGUACUACACUUUUCUUUAGUUACCUAUCCAGAUGUAUUGUUUUUUUAUUAAUUUUUCUACUAAGUAUUUGAAGAAAAUCACCUUUGAAGAGUAUAAUAGCCUAAUCUUGUAUCUGUAUUCUGCUUAGACAAAUUGCUUUUUCUACCAUCUUUCCUGCAAUAUCAGUUGUAUGGUAUGUUUCUCUUUGCCCUGAAAUUAAAAAAAAAAAAACAACCCAACUCUACUGCUGCAUGUUGCUAAAACUUUCAUGUUUCACUGGCAAGAAAAGUCGUUCCUUCUGUAUCUUUUGAAAGCUCUUUGCAGGAAAAGGAACUUGAGAAAUAAAAGACAGCAUUGUGUUUAUUGUUCUUUCAAGUAACACAUGGAAUCAGUUUAUACAGCAGUUGCAGGAUUAUAACACAACUGCUUCAUGCUCUGAUCACAACUAGCAAUAAAUAUUAAGAUAAGCAAACCAUUAUUGGUCUUGCACAUAACACCUUCCUCCACACAUGAAAAAUUCACUCUUUUUGAAAGGAAUCAACAUUUGUGUUAAUGCUAUCGCCUCAACAAGAUGAAGAUCAGCAACAAGGGAAGUUCAAUAACAAUAUGGUUCCAUUUUCAUUCUUCAUAUCCCUAAAUGCUUUCAUCUCUUCCCCUUCUAUCUUCAGAAAUGUUACGAAGCAGUAGGAAAGUAAUAUACACGACAUCUUUACAGCCUUUGCAGACUAAGGUGCUUUUUUAGUCCCAUAGUUCCUAAAUUACAAAUGUCAUGCAGCACUGAAAUAUCUCUACCACUACUGUAAAGUCAGAUAUUACAAUCAAUUUACACCUUUGAUAAAUCUACACACUACUUCUGUCAGCAUUCCUCUUUCAUAACCAGAGAGCAUCAGCCUUUUUUAAUUCAAUCUGCAGUAGCAGUUCAGCUCAGAAAGGCAUCAGGUCUUGGAAACCAAAUGCACUAGGCAGGAAAUAAACCCAUUCCAAGGACUCACUCUUCCUUGCAGGUUAAGUACGAAACAAAGUUAUACCAAAUAGUUUUCCAAUGUUAGAAUAAUUUGGAAAGCAAGAUUUUUCCUGUUUAAAAAGUGAACAAAAUUAAGGCUGAAUCUCAUGGAACCAUCUCUUUCUGGGACGAACCAUACCACAUAUACUGGUACUGCCAAAUAUGUAUUGGUGUGGCAGCAUUUACUUUGCACAAAUGCAAGAAACUAAAUUAUAGUCAGGGUUUAGUGCAUGAUUCAGAAAGUUAGAUCCUGUAUUUUGAGUCACAGAUAGCAGAAAGCAGGAAUAUCACAGACUAAUAUAGCAAACCAGAACCAAAAACCAAACAGAUUUUCAACGAUUGCAAGGCCAGCUCUUCAAGCUCUCAGUUUCAUACUUUGUUAAGAACUCAUCAUCCCUUUCAUCACCUAAAUAAGGUUAGACAUCUGUCAGGUUCCAUAUUUAAAGUUACUCAUUGUCAGAAAUAACUCAAAAGUCAGCAUUCUUCUGUCCUCUGAAAAACGUAGCCAUUUUUUUCAUUGCCGCAACAGAGCCUGAAUACUUCAUCCACCUGAUACAAGUCAUGGUGCUGAGUCCAUUUGUUCCAAUAAGUGGCUGGUCUAAAAACUUCAGGAACUGGGACUAGUUAAAAUAACAAAUAUGCACAAAUGUGCUUUCUCCCACAGAAAGCACAUCUAUCUCAAGGUUACACAAGAAGGGAAUCUAGAAGCAAUGGCAAUUCAUAGAAAUAGAUCUGCCAAGUGCUGGGAUUUCCUUCCCUUCAAAGAAAGCUGGCAUAUACCUAUCACCCCUCUCCCUUGCCACUCUUCUACUUUCCAUUUCUAGGUAACCUAAAAGGUUAUGAGAAAUGUCUUUAUACACAUACUGGUGAGGAAAGACUGAAAAAGGGCCAAAAGAAUAAAAAUCCCAACCAGAGAACAAUAAAUCAACUGCAUAAAAGGGAGUAUGCCUGCACACAGAAUGCAACAAGGGACAGGGAGACACAAAUGAAGCAGAGGAACUAAACAGCAUUUGGGCAUUCAGACACAGAAGCUAAAAGCAUAAAUGAAAAUUAAAAGGGCUGUACAUGAACAAGAAAAAAACAGAGUACAUUGGAAAAAUAUCCUUCCUCACUGCAAGUCACAGCAAUAUAAAAGAAUCACAGAAUAGUCUGAUUUGGAAGGGACCCACAAGGAUCAUCAAGUCCAGCCCUUAAGUAUGAGGCAUCAUGGCCUAUCCUGAAAUAGCCAAACCUAUUUAGCAAUGGUUGGUUUCCUGGAAAGCCAAUACUCCACUUUAUGCACUCAAGCCACACUUCCCCUCAGGCUUCAAUGUAAUCAAAUUUCUCUAUCUGAAGGGCAAAUAUUCCUACAGGGUUAAGACCUCAGUAAAAAAUUGAGCAUGAGAUGGAAUAAUCUUCACAGGUGUACUACUCCUUUGCCUCUGAGGGUUCUGGAAAAAUCAAAACAACAGAUCUCUUUGCCCCAGAACUCCUGUGCAUGAUGCAUCCACUUCAAUAAACAUCAAAAAUCAAGCCCAGGAAUUCCUGUGCAUGCAUUCUGAAUUCUGAUGGACAUAUAACUGACUACAGAGAACAACAGUGGCUGUGGCAAGAAAGAGACAGUACUUUCUGAUGUCUAAUCUAAGUCCCAAAAUCAUUGCCACAAUUUGAGUGGAUGGCACAAAACAUCUUAAUCCUAAAGUUAUUUAUACUCCAGUGUAAUUCCGGGACACUUUUUUCUUAUCACUUUCUUUUCUCAUCAGUCUCAGUCCACGUAUAUUUCCUAUUUUUUCAAAUAUCACCUUUUAUUCCUUUCAUUUACAUAAACUUCAGAAAUCCCCUAAGGGCAGCACUUCUCUAUAUCACUCACCUGUGUAAGACAGAGUAUUUCAAAUUUUACAGUAGGGAACAGGUCAGAGAUGCCAACAAAACGUAGUUGCAGUCAGAUGCUCCACAUGCAUAAAGCAAAAUACAUCACAUCAAUUUCUCUCUACCUUUAGGCUGUCAAAUAUUUCAGAUUCAAUGUCUCAUAUGGAUCAAAUUGCUAAAAUUAUCUCAGACUGUCAGUAUCAUUACCUGUUGGGUGAGAGAGUAUCUCUUAAUAUGCUCCUGUCAACAACUGCUACAGUGAAAAGCUAUUAAAAUAUCCUUAUUCGUCCAAAUUUAUUUUUAUCCUUUUCUACUGAGCCACAGAACACCAAACUCUACCUAAAAACACAGAUGAUAUCCUGAAGGAAAGGCAAUGGCUACCUGCCUAUACCUGGAAUACAGAAGAAGAAUAUUUUGAUUUGAAAGUGGUAUGUAUUACAUUAGAUGAGGUCAGCAAUAUCACCAGGUUUUCACAGUAAACACAGUGAACAGAAAAGGAGUUUAGGAAUCAUGUGAUUAAAGCUACAAAACCUUACUUCCAGAGAUAUGUAAAAUGUCAGGAAGUCUCUAUCUCAGAGGGUGAAACAGGAACAUUCUCUAUUUUGUCUCACAACAGAACUUUAGGCAUUAAGUGGCUUAGACAUAAAAUUUCAAGAUGACUAAGAUGAUCCCAUAACAGAUGCCAUCAGGACUGCUAAACAGAGACAUGUUGUUCAAUGCCUCUGACUUCCCCUUCUACCUGAAACCAUUAUCUCCUUUUCCAUUAAAAAGGAGAAGCAAUUUUUUAACUUUUGCAGCAUUCCAGAAUAAAUUAAUUUGUACUCUAUAUUGUAGUCUUUACAGAUGAAUUGGGAAGUACAUUUUAAUUAUCAUAUUUAAAAAUAUUCACUUUCAAUGCCAUGGAAGACAUCUUUCUGUUUAUACUAGUAUCAAAGACCUAUUAAUCUCUAAUAAGCAUAUUUCCUUACUUAUGUCCCAGAAAAAAAGUCUACAAGGUCUCUGAGAAUACCUGGUUUCCUUCUUUUUCUCACAAAUGCUACUCAACCUAGUGCCUUUCUCAAAUAACUCCUUGACCUGGUGGCACAGCUCCUUGACAAGGACACACCUGCAGGGGGGAUGACUCAGCCCCAGUUUCCUGGACAGGCACCAGGCACUCCGUACCAGCAGGGCCCUGCAGACCUGCCAGAAGGUCUCUUUGGGAGGAAGCCUGUGACACCACUGGUGUGGCAACAGCUGCUGGGGAAGGAGCUUUGUGGUGCAGAAUCAGUGCACGGUUGGCAGCACUGACUGCUGAGACAGGGGACAAGAGACCUCCUCGUACUCCUCGGGGUCCACAGCUGCUCCCGUGUGCUGCUCUCUGGUUCUGCUACUGUGCUGACCCUCCAAAAAGGAACCCUUCCCACCCAGAUUAUGGCUUGUCAAAAGCUAUUCUAAAUAUUAAGGGAGUUUGUUGUUUAGAGAUUUUUGUGGGUUUUUUUGUUUUAUUUUAAAAUUGAAAUUCCAGAAAGUUAUUUCAGUGGUUUUUUUUAAUAAAAUCUACAUUAAAAAAAACCCAACACACUGUUUAUACUUCCUGAUCUCCUUCCUUAAGAUCAGUACUAAAGAAACCAAGUCAACUUUCUGUUUUUUAAACCUCUGAGGGCCUUCUAUGUCUUGAUGCACAGCAGUUAUCUGCCUGAUCAUUAGGCUUUCCAGGAAAUCAACUGGUGCUUUUAUGGCUAUUCAGAGAUUGAUCCAGUCAAAUCGCCCAGGUCAAUAGAAGCAGCUCCAUUGUUUGCCAUGUUCUUCUUCAACCCAGAAUCCCCCACCAGAGAUGCUGGGGUUUGCCAUUCUGUUCCUGUCUUAGAGGUGUGACUACACCCAAAAAGCACUAAAUGUUACAUAAAAACA